rnacentral:sRNA from 1 species
GCUUUUUUAGUUCCGGCAAUGAGUUGCGCCGGGGCGGCGGCGGCUCCCUGCCUUUGGCGGCUGCGCCCGGGGGCCCGGCGGUCCCUCUCAGCUUAUGGAAGAAGAAUCAGUGUCAGAUUUCGCAGUUCAGGAAUGACUUUAGACAAUAUCAAUCGGGCAGCUGUGGAUCGAAUAAUCCGGGUGGAUCAUGCAGGCGAAUAUGGAGCAAACCGCAUCUAUGCCGGGCAGAUGGCCGUCCUGAGUCGGACCAGCGUCGGGCCAGUCAUUCAGGUGGGUGCUUCUUCAUCUCCCUCACCCUGGUCUACUGAAUGGGCAGAUCCAAAGGCCUUCAAGUAAUGAAUCAUGGGAGGUCAAGCGUUCCCUAGGGAGAUGCCAUUGUCUCCAGGAGAGCGAAGGUUGGUUCUUGGUGGAGAGAUGGGGAGCAAAAAACAUAUUGUUCUUUUUAUGGAUAAAGCACAGAGAGACAUCUAGUACAUAGACAGGUAUGCGGUAUAUCUUUGGUAUCAGUACUCCAUGGCGGGGGCAGGCAGUAAUGAAAAAAGGUUAAGAAUCGCUCAGCACAGCAGU